rfam:Camelus ferus unplaced genomic scaffold scaffold2519, whole genome shotgun sequence.
GAGGGUAUAGCUCAGUGGUAGAGUGCAUGCUUAGCAUGCAUGAGGUCCUAGUUUCAAUCCCCAGUACCUCCA